rnacentral:rRNA from 1 species
GUCUGUAUGAAGUUAUAUAGAGUCUAACCUGCCCAUUGAAUAAUUUUAAAAGGCCGCAGUAUAUUAACUGUGCAAAGGUAGCAUAAUCAUUAGUUUUUUAAUUGAAGGCUUGUAUGAAAGGUUGGACAAAGAAUAAUCUGUUUCUAUUUUUAUUUUUGAAUUUUACUUUUAAGUGAAAAGGCUUAAAUAAAUUUAAGGGACGAUAAGACCCUAUAAAUCUUUAUAUUAAAUUAAUUUUAAUUAAUUAAUAUUGUAGAGUUAAAUAAUAAUAAAUAAAUAUUAUGUUGGGGUGAUAAAAAUAUAAAAUAAACUGUUUUAAAAUUUAAACAAACUUGUUUGAAAAUACUAAUAGAUCCUUAAAAAAGAUUAAAAGUUUAAGUUACUUUAGGGAUAACAGCGUUAUUUUUUUUGAGAGUUCUUAUCGAAAAAAAAGUUUGCGACCUCGAUGUUGAAUUAAAAUUUCUUUAUGAUGUAGCAGUCAUAAAAGAAAGUCUGUUCGACUUUU